rnacentral:lncRNA from 1 species
GAACAGCAACAACAAAGACCACUAAAGUCAGAACUCAUCUCCAUCCCUCCCACUGUCUCAGUGUAAGGGGCUCCCCACCACUGGCCACCUUCUGUGGACUGAAAACACUUAGCAUUCAACAUUUCUGGGAUUUUAGGAGUGAAUAUCUGGAGCAUUUGGGACGGUUCAGGAAUUUCCCAGGCCAAAUGGAUGAUGUAGUAUUCUGUCCCAUAACAUCCAGGCCCAUUCUCCAUAUGAGAGGACUGACUGUCUUCACAAGAGGUUCCAGAGACCGGUACACCAAGUGGACCAGAGACUUCUAUGACCACACUGAUCUUGAAAAGCUGGGAUCCACACUGCAUCAAGGUCACAGAAAGUGGGCCCUAACUGAUGAGCCAUCUUAGCCAUGACCAAGAAGGGAAGACUGAUUGUUCCCUGGAUUUACUAGUGUGCUUUCUAAUAGGAAGAAACUUCAGCUUGCUUUGAACUUAGCUUUUCCAGGGCUAAAUGUUUUGGGGAAACUGAGUUGAAUCCUCCCUCACCCCUGAUGGUGAGUGAACUAAAAACAUCUUCCCCACUUUGUAAACUAAGCAUCCUACACCCCCAUUCCCUCUCCCACCUGUGGUGCUGAACAGGAGCCGCCCAUGACUCCCUGGACCAAGAGCCCGAGGAUGCCUCCCGGCCAAGACUUCAUCUAUCUCAUCCCCAGAAGACCUUAUUUCCAUUUCCAUUUCCAUCGGAGGGUUAUCUCAGAAAACAUUAACUGAAUCCUACUUGCCAUCACAAGCACCUCUUCGGCAAAGCCCACCUCCCUCUCUCGCUUGAUUCCCCGGCCAUCCUUAUCAAAGACCUUCCAGGUGAACAGGCAGCCAUCCUCAGCAGCAGUCAGCAGGAACUGAUCAUCAAAGAAACUUGCAAAAAUAGCACAGAGAGAGUGGACUUCUGGAAUGGCACGGCAACAAAAUUCCCUACGGCAGCACCCAAAGGCUUGAAAUUAGCCAUUCCAAGUGUGUCCAAAAAACUAAAGGAAACCAUGAUUAAACAAGUAAAGGUAGAAAUGAUAUGCAUCAAAUAGAGAAGAAUAAAAGGAUCCCAUCAAUAUAGGGAUAGAACUGUAAGAAAAUAGAAAUUCUAGAGUUAAAAACUACAAUAACUGAAAUGAAAAAUCCACUAGAGGUGCUCAAGAAUAGAUCUGAACUGGCAGAAGAAUUAGUGAACUUUAUAGAUCAAAAAAGAUUAGCAAUUUGAAGAACAGAGAGGAAAAAGAAUUAGAAAUUUACAGAGCCUCAGAAAAAUGUGGGACACCAUUAAGCACACCAACUAAUGCAUAAGGUGAAUGCUAGAAGGAGAGGAGAAAGAGAAAGGAACAGAAAAAACAUUUUCAUAAAUAAUUGCUGAAAAUAUUAUAAAUUUAUUGGGAAACACCAGUGUACACAUAUAGGAAGCUCAAUGAACUCCAAGUAGGAAAAACACAAAGAGUUCCACAAACAGACACAUUUUGGCAAAAAUAAUGAAAGCUAAAGAUGAGAAGAAAAUUUUGAAAGCAUCAAUAGAAAAAUGACUGAUCACUUACAAAAGAGUCCCAAUAAGAUUAAUAGCAGAUAUCUCAGCAACAACAACGGAAGCCAGAAGAGAAUGGGAUAACAUGUUCAAAGUGCUUAAAGAAAAAGCUGUCAAACAAAAAUCCUGCAAAGCUAUCUUUUAGAACUAAAGGUGAAAAAAAAUUACCAAAAAAACUGAAAAAAUAUGUUGCUAGCAGAUAUGACUUACAGAAAAUACUAAAGGAAAUCCUUUAGGUUGAAAGCAAGUUACUCCAGAUAGUAAUUCAAAUCCACACAAAACAAAGAGCACUGGUAAAGCCAGUAGACAAGAUUUGACUCUGGAGGUGACGUCUGAGCCAAUAGGUAUUUGGAGUCUGGAGAAAAAGCCAUGCUAAUAAAUUUC